GUGGGGAAUUUUGGACAAUGGGCGCAAGCCUGAUCCAGCAAUGCCGCGUGCAGGAAGAAGGCCUUCGGGUUGUAAACUGCUUUUGUACGGAACGAAACGGUCCUGGUUAAUACCUGGGGCUAAUGACGGUACCGUAAGAAUAAGCACCGGCUAACUACGUGCCAGCAGCCGCGGUAAUACGUAGGGUGCAAGCGUUAAUCGGAAUUACUGGGCGUAAAGCGUGCGCAGGCGGUUGUGUAAGACAGGCGUGAAAUCCCCGGGCUCAACCCGGGAAUUGCGCUUGUGACUGCACGGCUGGCGUGCGGCAGAGGGGGAUGGAAUUCCGCGUGUAGCAGUGAAAUGCGUAGAUAUGCGGAGGAACACCGAUGGCGAAGGCAAUCCCCUGGGCCUGCACUGACGCUCAUGCACGAAAGCGUGGGGAGCAAACAGGAUUAGAACCCCGGGUAGUCC
rnacentral:rRNA from 1 species